rnacentral:rRNA from 1 species
AUUGAACGCUAGCGGGAUGCUUUACACAUGCAAGUCGACCGAGUUGCGGACGUGUGAUUUAUAUCUCGGCACGUGCCCAGUAGCGGGGUCUCACUACUCGACAGCUUGGCUAAUACCGCAUUCUAUUGCAUCACCCCUUAUCGGAUUCGCUAGUUGGGGGGGUAAAGGCUCACCAAGGCAACGAUCCGUCGCUGGUUUGAGAGGACGACCAGCCACACUGGUACGUGGACACGGCCCAGACUCCUACGGGAGGCAGCAGUGGGGAAUGUUGGACAAUGGGGUCAACCCUGAUCCAGCCAUCCCGCGUGUAUGAGAAGGCCUUCGGGUUGUAAAGUACUUUUGGCAGAGAAGCGGUAUCUGAAGAAUAAGCACCGGCUAACUACGUGCCAGCCGCCGCGGUAAUUC